AGACCACUCCCCAGGGCUCCUGUACCCAUGUUGGUAGGGUCCAUUCAAAAAUGGUGAGUGGGUGAAGGGUGAGUUAUCCUGGCCAAACGGAGCAGGAAGGCCAGUGGUCAGAAUUGGUCACUUAGUCCUAGGCCCUCUGACUUGCUAGCAUGCACAGGUAUGUUCUGGGAGGAGAGCCAUCUCCUUGAUGGUCUCUUAACUCCCUGGGGCUGGGGGCUGGGCUGGUGCUGGCCCACUGAAGAGAACCCUGGAAGGUCCUUCUUGGCAGCCUGCAUUUCAUUGGCCAGUGAGGGAGGGAGCAUUCAUGCCAGGGAAUAAAGGAGGUUAUGUAGCCAUCAGUGCUUUGGAGCAAAUUACAGCCAAGUUUUGUAAAUUCUGUGGUGUUGAGGUAGCUAAACCAUUGAACAUAAAGAAUGGCAACACAGAGGCUCUUGAAAUGAUACACUUCAUGGCUGGGGGGUGGGUGAUGAGAAUUUGGACCUGAGGUUUGGGACCUGAGCAGGACUGUCCACAACCAGGGGACAACCCUUGGUCCAGAACUAGAAAUUAGGGACAGGAGGCCUUGGAGGCAUAAGAUUUUACUGAUGAGGAGAAACUCAUGCCUACCUUUCCCAGCAGGGAUCUUCCUACAAAUCCUCUGAGGGCAGGGGCACGGCAACUAGAUCCUGGUCAAGAAUGAUUGUGAAGGGCACUCUUGGUGGUGGCAGACCUGGGAGAGCAGAGGAUGGGAAGCUGACCUGGCCAGUGGGGAUGAGGAAAGAGGUUGGACAGGUAGGUGACGGCCAGAUGGGACAGGCCCUGAAAAAUGCUUGAGCACGGAGCUGGGAGAAACCCACCCCUCGCUUACUCCUCCAGUAGGUUGGUUCCCUCUUCACACUUCCAGCCUUGUCCAGAAGCAGAAGCCUGAUAUGUAGAGUCUGAAAAACUCCUAAGGGGCUCUUCUGUGAUGUUCAAGUCCAGCUGUGGGCAAAUCAGGAUGGCUUCCAUGUGCCAGGUCCUGGCUGCUGUGGCUCUCUCCUCUGCACAGAAGAAUUGGGCCUAGUGGAUUUCAUUUGCACAGAGGGCGACGGCUCCCAGACCUCCACCUCCAGACUAGACCCCUUUCCUGAGCUCCAGACCCAUGCUGGAGCUGCAGGGGAGGUCCCCAAGCUACUCAAUCUCAAAUCUCUGGAACUGAGCUCAGGACCAACUACUCUGCAGCCACUGGGCUAUUUCACAUCUCAGGGAAAGGCACCACCAUUCACUCUGCCCCUUGCUCCUUUCUUUCUCUUACCUCCACAUCCAGUAAAUUACCAACUCUGAAAUCACCUCCUAAAUGCCGUAUACACCAAAUAUAGGUAUUUCUCCCACAAAAAUCUUCAUAAAAUUUUUUUUACUCAAAAAAGAGUUUACUUACAUUUCAGUCUUUACAAAAUCCCUCAUAUAACGGGAUGCUCUCUCACCUUGUUUUGAACCAAAAAGCACUUUUUGGAAAAAAGACAUUACCCUGAAAUGACCUCAGUCAAGCUAGUUUUGGACGAUUAUAAGUAGUCCCCUGACAAAAUCAGUAAACGAAGCAAAGAAAUUUACCACAGACUUAGUAAUUAUUUCUCACAAUCCCAAGUAUUACAUAUAAACAAGCCUCUUAAAGGACACUUUAAUAGCAAGACAGCAUUGUUUUUUUUUAGGCUUGGUAAUGGUAUGAAGAUCUAUCUAUCUAUCUAUACACAUACACACUUAAAAUUUGUGUCAAAAUAAUAUGGAAGGGGUUAGUGAGUGGGUGGAGUUUGACAUGAAACAAGAGUGCCCAUCAAUUCAUAAUUGAAGCUGGCUGAUGGGUACAAGGAAGUUCACUGUACUCUCUUGUCUACACUUACAUACAUUUGAAAUUUUCCAUAAAAUUUUUAAUGCAAUACAGUAAGUAGUUAUUAUGCAGAUCAUUAAUAUAUACCUAUGGGAGAAAUGAAAAGAAAGCUGUUUUAAUGUCACAAAAGAUAAUUAUGCUUAGAUUAAAAUUUCUAGUAAUAGCAUCACAUACUGACUCGAAAAGUAUUUUCAACAACACGAAUGAGUCUCAAAAACAUACUGAACAUAGACCACGGUUACAUACUCCUUGAUUCCAUUUAUGUGAAAUUCUAGAAUAGGCAAAAACUACUCUGGAGUGAUGGAAAGUACGUUAGUGAUUGCUGGACGGGAGGGCAGGGGAGACUGACUACAAAAGGGGCACUGAGAAACCAGGGUGAUGGAAAUGUUCUGUACCUUGAUUGGGUAGAGGUUACAUGAGGGCAUACAUUCGUCAAAGCUCACCAUUUUUUUUUUUUAAUAUGUAAGUUAUUCCUCAGUCAAGCCGAUUUUUCAAAAGUACUCAAACAAUUUAGAAAGCAGUGAAGGUGAUGUGCCUUCAGAAAUUAUAUUAGAUGACUCAAAGUAGCUCACCUGGUGACAACUACAUAGAAAUCAAAUAUUCAUAGAGAGUUCGAACAUAAGUUUAUUACCGCAAAUGUGAGAGCGGGGAAAAAUAAAUAUUCAUAAAUUAAUAUACUGUUUUAAAUA
rnacentral:lncRNA from 1 species